rnacentral:rRNA from 1 species
GAUGAACGCUGGCGGCGUGCCUAAUACAUGCAAGUCGAGCGAAUGGAUUAAGAGCUUGCUCUUAUGAAGUUAGCGGCGGACGGGUGAGUAACACGUGGGUAACCUGCCCAUAAGACUGGGAUAACUCCGGGAAACCGGGGCUAAUACCGGAUAACAUUUUGAACCGCAUGGUUCGAAAUUGAAAGGCGGCUUCGGCUGUCACUUAUGGAUGGACCCGCGUCGCAUUAGCUAGUUGGUGAGGUAACGGCUCACCAAGGCAACGAUGCGUAGCCGACCUGGGAGGGUGAUCGGCCCUACUGGGACUGAGACACGGCCCAGACUCCUACGGGAGGCAGCAGUAGGGAAUCUUCCGCAAUGGACGAAAGUCUGACGGAGCAACGCCGCGUGAGUGAUGAAGGCUUUCGGGUCGUAAAACUCUGUUGUUAGGGAAGAACAAGUGCUAGUUGAAUAAGCUGGCACCUUGACGGUACCUAACCAGAAAGCCACGGCUAACUACGUGCCAGCAGCCGCGGUAA